UAGGGAAUCUUCGGCAAUGGACGAAAGUCUGACCGAGCAACGCCGCGUGAGUGAAGAAGGUUUUCGGAUCGUAAAACUCUGUUGGUAGAGAAGACGUUGGUGAGAGUGGAAAGCUCAUCAAGUGACGGUAACUACCCAGAAAGGGACGGCUAACUACGUGCCAG
rnacentral:rRNA from 1 species